GAUGAACGCUGGCGGCGUGCUUAACACAUGCAAGUCGAACGGAAAGGCCCAAGCUUGCUUGGGUACUCGAUUGGCGAACGGGUGAGUAACACGUGUGUGAUCUGCCCUUCACUUCGGGAUAAGCCUUGGAAACUGGGUCUAAUACCGGAUAGGACCACUUCUAGGAUGUUGUGGUGGAAAGAUUUUUCGGUGUGGGGUGAGCUCGGGGGCUAUCAGCUUGUUGGGGGGGUAAUGGCCUACCAAGGCGUCGCCGGGUAGCCGGCCUGAGAGGGUGUACGGCGACAUUGGGUCUGAGAGACGGCCCAGGCUGCUACGGUAGGGAGAAGUGGGGAAGCUUGACGAAUGGGCGCAAGGCUGGUGCAGAGACGCCGCGUGGGGGAUGACGGCCUUCGGGUUGUAAAAUACUUUCGCUAGGGACGAAGCGUUUUGUGACGGUACCUGGAGAAGAAGCACCGGCUAACUACGUG
rnacentral:rRNA from 1 species